CCACGGUGUUUUUAUCCCACUGCGGAGGCAGGAACCGAGGCACAGAGAUGUGUAUUGACCGAAGCUGGCAACCCUUCCCUAACUGAAUCAUGUGUCCUGCUGACUUCACUGAGAUGAUCCAUACAAGGUUAAGCUGCCAUAGCGGUGCAGUUUCACAUGAGACGAUGCAGAAAAACAACAAAAUAGAUCUUCAGUGUCAUCAUUCUCGCAUCACCCCACAGUGACAGCUGGGGAAAGACUUCCAAUCCUCCUACCUGAAA